AUUUGAUCUGUUGUAAUCUUGCUUUGUUGGUUGUUUUUGUUCUUCUAAGCAAAGUGAAGUGGUGAUAAGGAGAAAAAAUCUUGUUUGCAAGUCACCUUUUGCAGAAGAAAAUAAUUGUUUUGUACCAAAUUCUUCUGGUUAUAUUUUCAAGUAUUCAUAUUCUGCUUCACCAUUACACGUUUGCACUCCUGCUGUUACAUGUAGCAUAAUAAAUUCAUAAUAUUAGCAUGCGUGCCAUGUCCAUAUUCUUCCAGCACGUACAGAUUGUGUGGUGGCAUGUUGAUUUAGCUUAUUAUUUGAUCAAGCCCGGCCUCCUUUGCGCCCUCUUCAUCAUGCACAAUGGCUCAUAGGCCAUUUGGUUCGUGGUGUCUGCCAAUUGUAUGAUUCAGAAAUUAAUGGAAUAUUAAGCUCUUGGUGGAUGACCUUCUCAAUCCUUCAGGGUAUGCAAGUAUUUAGUCUAUUUGUUGCUGUUACACUGUUUGGUACAACUUUUAGACAAAAUCAACAAGCAAUGUCUGCUAUCAUGGAUACAAACUUGCUAAUAUUGAAGAAGUGUUGGAACCCCAUUCUUCCGCAAAGAUGUCCUUCAUAAAACCGAUGCUCAUAGUUGACCAGAUCAAUCAUGAUAGAGGGAGUAAAUCAACCAGCAUAGGAUCUACUUUGGGUGGACUGAUGGGCAGAGUUCAGCAGCCAAUAGCUAAUCAUCAACCCAGAAUGCUCUUGGGUACAACGGCAUUAAUACUCUUGAAAGUGUUAAAGAAUGCAUGAGUAUGUAGUUGACAAGAUUUUUCCCCUGGCCUUGGAUUUCGUCUUCCUGGUGAGCGCGGCGAGGGCAACCACAGGGGAGGUGACAUUGGAGUCGUCACCUCCGGUCAAGUUGUACGGGGACCAGGAAGCGAGGAUAUGCUGCGAUGGCCUUGAAGAGCUACGUGUGAGUUUGGUCAGGGGAAGACCGACGCGAGUUUGGAGUAGAGACAGCGGCCAGUGAGCUGGACUCCUGUUUUCCAAGACAUUUGAGAGGAGGUGUUUGAGAAUAAUCCAAGGAGGUUGCACAACAUAAUAAAUCCAUGUGAUACUUGAAUCUGCAAGCUCUAGGUUUUGAUCAGACCGAGGUAUGUAAGCAUGAAAGAGGACUGGUGUUGAUGCUGGAUAUAAGCGAGUCACAAUUGUUCAUUGCAAGUCACCAGAUCUAAACCUAAUCUCUUAGCUACAUCUUUUCUGGAACAUUGUCGAAGUAUUUUCAAGUUUGAAUAGACUACUGUAAGCAGUUUUUAAAUUCGACUUUGUUCAUUUAAGGAAGCAGGUUGGUUUUAUAAAAAAAUAAGAGUGGGGCUUGUCUGCUUUGAUAAUAGGAUCGUUCACUUCAUUCGAUCUUGCUGUUUUUAAAGUCGUGGAUUUUUCACCAUCCUUUUCGUGGAAACUUGGUACUCUGUACAUUAUGUUAUGCAUCUACUAUGCAGAUACUUGUGUCAUAAAUUGCUUUUAUCCGCCU